AGGAGGUCUACAACAAGGUAGGUUGUAAACAUGAGUGCUUUUUAUUUUCUUGUUGUCAUUUUUGAUAUGACAAUUUCUAUUUUUACAUAAUUUUGGAAGAUAUUUAUCUUCUAGAACUGUGUCUCUACAGAUAGCAGGUGAGUAAAUCUCCCUCUUGUAGUUAGGCCAAGAAAUUCGGUUUUCAAACUCUAAGCAAAGCAUAUCCUGGGGGGAAAAAAAAGCUUUUUCUGCAUGAUUGUUUGUAAAUAGCCAGAUUAAAAAAUUGGUCAGCGUUUCCUGUGUGGUAAUUGAAACCAUUGUACACUGUCUGAAGGAAUAUGCCCCAACCAGGAGUUUCCUGUAUGAAUCCUGCAUAAAUCUUGGAUUAUAGAAGCAGUGUCUUUUGGUUGGCAGAAAGAGGCCUUUCAUUACUGCUGGUAUCAGUGAUGUUAAUGGAAAACAGCCCACAACUGCCUGUUAUUCGAAGCCAGUGGAAUUAAAGCAGAAAAGGGUUUGUCUGUUCAUGGUUUAGAAGCAAGAAUGGACCCAAUGUGAAAGCUCUUCCCUUUGAUUUGGAGUGAAAGACAUCCAGUGAUUUUCAUGCUAGUCUGAGAAAUAAUGUGAAGUCCUG
rnacentral:lncRNA from 1 species